GGACAAUUUCAAAACCACGUUUUG
rnacentral:siRNA from 1 species